rnacentral:rRNA from 1 species
AUGAACGCUAGCUACAGGCUUAACACAUGCAAGUCGAGGGGCAGCAUGGUCUUAGCUUGCUAAGGCCGAUGGCGACCGGCGCACGGGUGAGUAACACGUAUCCAACCUGCCGUCUACUCUUGGACAGCCUUCUGAAAGGAAGAUUAAUACAAGAUGGCAUCAUGAGUCCGCAUGUUCACAUGAUUAAAGGUAUUCCGGUAGACGAUGGGGAUGCGUUCCAUUAGAUAGUAGGCGGGGUAACGGCCCACCUAGUCUUCGAUGGAUAGGGGUUCUGAGAGGAAGGUCCCCCACAUUGGAACUGAGACACGGUCCAAACUCCUACGGGAGGCAGCAGUGAGGAAUAUUGGUCAAUGGGCGAGAGCCUGAACCAGCCAAGUAGCGUGAAGGAUGACUGCCCUAUGGGUUGUAAACUUCUUUUAUAAAGGAAUAAAGUCGGGUAUGGAUGCCCGUUUGCAUGUACUUUAUGAAUAAGGAUCGGCUAACUCCGUGCCAGCAGCCGCGGUAAUACGGAGGAUCCGAGCGUUAUCCGGAUUUAUUGGGUUUAAAGGGAGCGUAGAUGGAUGUUUAAGUCAGUUGUGAAAGUUUGCGGCUCAACCGUAAAAUUGCAGUUGAUACUGGAUAUCUUGAGUGCAGUUGAGGCAGGCGGAAUUCGUGGUGUAGCGGUGAAAUGCUUAGAUAUCACGAAGAACUCCGAUUGCGAAGGCAGCCUGCUAAGCUGCAACUGACAUUGAGGCUCGAAAGUGUGGGUAUCAAACAGGAUUAGAUACCCUGGUAGUCCACACGGUAAACCGAUGAAUACUCGCUGUUUGCGAUAUACUGCAAGCGGCCAAGCGAAAGCGUUAAGUAUUCCACUUGGGGAGUACGCCGGCAACGGUGAAACUCAAAGGAAUUGACGGGGGCCCGCACAAGCGGAGGAACAUGUGGUUUAAUUCGAUGAUACGCGAGGAACCUUACCUGGGCUUAAAUUGCAGAUGAAUUACGGUGAAAGCCGUAAGCCGCAAGGCAUCUGUGAAGGUGCUGCAUGGUUGUCGUCAGCUCGUGCCGUGAGGUGUUGGCUUAAGUGCCAUAACGAGCGCAACCCUUGUUGUCAGUUACUAACAGGUUCCGCUGAGGACUCUGACAAGACUGCCAUCGUAAGAUGUGAGGAAGGUGGGGAUGACGUCAAAUCAGCACGGCCCUUACGUCCGGGGCUACACACGUGUUACAAUGGGGGGUACAGAGGGCCGCUACCACGCGAGUGGAUGCCAAUCCCCAAAACCUCUCUCAGUUCGGACUGGAGUCUGCAACCCGACUCCACGAAGCUGGAUUCGCUAGUAAUCGCGCAUCAGCCACGGCGCGGUGAAUACGUUCCCGGGCCUUGUACACACCGCCCGUCAAGCCAUGGGAGCCGGGGGUACCUGAAGUGCGUAACCGCGAGGAGCGCCCUAGGGUAAAACUGGUGACU